rnacentral:rRNA from 1 species
UACGUAGGGUGCAAGCGUUGUCCGGAAUUAUUGGGCGUAAAGAGCUCGUAGGCGGUCUGUCACGUCUGCUGUGAAAACUCGGGGCUUAACCCCGGGCCUGCAGUGGGUACGGGCAGACUAGAGUGCGGUAGGGGAGACUGGAAUUCCUGGUGUAGCGGUGAAAUGCGCAGAUAUCAGGAGGAACACCGAUGGCGAAGGCAGGUCUCUGGGCAUUAACUGACGCUGAGGAGCGAAAGCAUGGGGAGCGAACAGG